UUGCUUUGGCAGCACAUAUACUAAAAUGGGAACGAUACUGAGAAGAUUAGCAUGGCUCCUGCAUUAGGAUGACAGGUAAAUUUGGAAACCAUCUCGUAUUUUC
ensembl:snRNA U6 U6 spliceosomal RNA